GCUCCGGGCUCGCUGGAGCCUCCUGCCCCGGGAAAUGCGCCCACCCCAGCGUCCUUUUCCCAGUGGGGAAGCUCUCCCGGCUUGAGGGAGAGGGAAGGAAUUGGCCUAAACCCCCUUGAAGGGGCCACGUUUAAAAGAUCCGGGCCCUAACUCUUGCCUGACCGCUCUUCUCUGCCAUCGGCCAGGCUAAACAGCCUGGGCAGACCACAACCGGGAGUGGGGCAUCCCAGGGCCAAGACUUUGACGCAAAGUAGACAUUAGUGUGACCUCAGACAUAUUCUCUCGGCCUCUUGUUACGCAAAAAUGGAGAGAGGCCGUUUUGAGGACAAGAUCACUUCACUUCAGAGAGAGAACCUUGUCCCCAAGACUCCCAGACCAGAUGACUGGCAGCCAGUCUGUCCUGCACAAAGGGACACUGCCCUGGAUGCAUCAGGAAGCUUGUGGCAGCAUCCUGAGGAAGGCUCAGCACACAAGCUCUUCCCAUCUGGGAUGGUGGAUGGUUGGCACUGGACUGUUGGACCGCUCUUAAAACACUCUUGGUGAGCUGGCCUCAAGCGGGGCGCUGAAGGCCCAGGGUGGAUGACACACUCCUGCCCCGACUCGGGCUGGCCUGGGAAGGAGGUGGAAGGCUUCCCUAAUGAGAUUCCCAGCCCUGCUCAGUCAACCAGAGGUGGUGAAAUUAGCCAAGGGCCAGAGACCUUGCUCUGGCUAGAGCAGAAUCCUAAGAGUCCUCUUGCAAGAAGACCUGUUUGAUCUAGAACAAGACCUCAGGUGUGCCAGGUUCUGUGCGAGGGACCAGGAAUUGAAAUGAGUCAGAAUUAUUUCUGUUGUGGCAAUAACCUUCCGUAGAAGAUCAAGGUGUGGAAGCACAUAAAGACAGUAACAUGUUAGAAGUAUUCAAAUAAAGAAAUGAACACGGAGUCAAAAGAAAGACGGUCCUAGCUCUGCCCAGAGCGGGAAGAGAAGGCAGGGACUACUUCCCAGAGGGGCUGGUGCUGGGAACGGCUCCCUGCUGUCAUCGGUCACUCUCUGAGACAGUCACCACAGCCUCGUGAGGGGUGUCCCAACUCCAACACAUACCCCAGGGAUAAGAGAAAGUUCUGAUGGAGUGUGCGAGAGGGGGCCCACCACCCAGGCCUGGAGUUCUUCAGCAAGAGUGGAGAAUAGCCAUUCUGAUGGAAAGAGACAGCCUGCCCUCUGCAAGAUGUCAGCAGGGACCCUCAACCAAUUAGCAUUAAACACAUUCAUUGACCGAACACCAGCAUUAUAAAGGAAGGACUGCUGCUGAAUGACACUCCUGAAUUCUGACCCCUACCCUUGGCCAGUGACCCUGAGAAUGAAGAUGCUCCUAGCUUUUGCGUCUUCUAUUCCUUCUGCCUCGACCACCUAGACAAAGACUCCUCCAGGAAACCCUCCUGAUAACCCACCAGUUGUGGACACUCAUAGCACUGUCUGCUUCAUUCAUCCAUUCCACUGAAGCUCACUGGGCACUUACCACCCAGCAAACAUGAGGGACACAGCAGUGAACAGACACGACAUCCUGCUCCCAAGGGGCUUACAUUCUAAAGGAGGGAAAGAACAAUAAGCACAUAAACAAGGGAAAUACAGAAUGUGUUAAAUUGUGGAGAGUUAGUGGAAGCUGUCCAUCCCAGUGGGGAAGGGUAUCGUAUAACACUGUUUAGAAUUGUCAAUGCACAGGGCUAAUAAAAAACAGACAGACUUA